UAUGGCCAUAUCACAGUGAAACAUUGGUUCCCAUAAAAUCACUGAAGUUAAGCAACAUCGAGCCUGGUCAGUACCUAAAUGGGUGACUCUUUAGAAAUACCAAGUGCUGUAA